CAGGAAGUAGUUUAAUUAGAAUGUCAGCUUUGGGAGUUGAUGGUGAGGUGCGUUUGCCUUCUUCUUGA
rnacentral:tRNA from 1 species